GAUGAACGCUGGCGGCGUGCCUAAUACAUGCAAGUCGAACGCUGGAGCUCUAGCUUGCUUGCUCGAAGGAGUGGCGAACGGGUGAGUAAUACAUAUGCAACCUACCCACGAAGACUGGGAUAAUCUCUGGAAACGGGGACUAAUACCGGGAAGGUAUACGGAAGCCCUCUUCUGGUUAUUAAAGGACGAAAUCACUGGUGGAUGGAGUUAUGGCGCCUCAGUUUGUUGGUGAGGUAACGGCCCACCAAGACGAUGGUGCGUAGCCGGCAGGGGGGGGGGAACGGCCACAUUUGGACCGAGACCCGGCCCAGACUCCGACGGGGGGGAGGGGUAGGGAAUUUUCGGCGAGGGGGGCAACCCUGACCGAGCAACGCCGGGUGUGAGAAGACGGGCUUCGGGUUGUAAAGCUCUGAGGUAAGGGAAGAACGGUAGAUAGAUAAGAUCUAAGUGACGGUACCUUACCAGAAAGCCACGGCUAACUACGUG
rnacentral:rRNA from 1 species